GAGGUGGCUUCCGGCCGCCAGGCGAGACUCCGCGGGAAAACUCCCUGCUAGAGAGACUAGGAGAUUUGGGGCUGCGGCCGUUUCCUCCGGAGCACCCACGGGACUGUGUGCUGGGGUCCCUCCACCGGCUGUGUCCUUUAUUCUUCUUUCUCACCCAACGAUUUACCUGAACGGUUAUAAAGUGCACGUUAUUUCCCUAAGCACUUUGAGUAUAUUGGCCCACUGCAUUCUGGACUUCAAAAUUUCUGAUGCGAAAUAUGCUGAUACUUUUGUUGAAGAAAUCUGGUCCUUCUUACUGAUGUGUUGCUCUUCUUCAUGGCUCGUGAAAACUAUUAGAGUCAUCCAAGGUCCUGACAUCCACUGCCUUCA
rnacentral:lncRNA from 1 species